rnacentral:misc_RNA from 1 species
UCCUUUAGAUGCUCUAAGGU